AGAUUUGACGUGUAGACCAGUAAGACUGUCAGCCUCCCAGGGAAAAGAGACAACUUGAAGUCAGCGAUGAUACUCUGACUGUGACCCUGUUUGAAACUGCAUGUGUGCAUUUGGGCCUGAUUCAGAUCUCACUACUCUGUACAUGAGGAGUAACUGCAUUGAGUCGAUGGUUUUACACCAGGAUAGAGUUGCUAUGAAGUGAGUAUCCAACAGCGUCAGCGGACAGUACAGGACCAAAGAGCCCAGGAACCGCCAUGUAUGGAACAACACCUUGCUUCUUUUUCUCGAGGAUACAAUUUCCCACUGGAGACUCAAAAUUCAUGUGUUAGGAACAACAGAUUAUUUAUUCCUAAACCUCAUUCUUCCAUCAGAUCACAAGAUUAUUAUUAAAAAUUAAUUGAAUAUUAGAAAGCCUAUUUGUCCAGUCACGUACACCUCUGUAAAGCUAAAUACUUGUACAAUGCUUCUUACCACUAACCUGCUGCGUACUUCAUCUGCUUCUGUAACACUGCAACAAAAGAUACAUCCUGUGAAAUUUUACUUGUAGCCUCACUGGAUCAUGAGAAAUAUUCCCUUAAUAAAGGAUGUCUCUGAAUC